UGAGGAAUAUUGGUCAAUGGGCGUAAGCCUGAACCAGCCAAGUCGCGUGAGGGAUGAAGGUUCUAUGGAUCGUAAACCUCUUUUAUAAGGGAAUAAAGUGCGGGACGUGUCCCGUUUUGUAUGUACCUUAUGAAUAAGGAUCGGCUAACUCCGUGCCAGCAGCCGCGGUAAUACGGAGGAUCCGAGCGUUAUCCGGAUUUAUUGGGUUUAAAGGGUGCGUAGGCGGCCUUUUAAGUCAGCGGUGAAAGUCUGUGGCUCAACCAUAGAAUUGCCGUUGAAACUGGGGGGCUUGAGUAUGUUUGAGGCAGGCGGAAUGCGUGGUGUAGCGGUGAAAUGCUUAGAUAUCACGCAGAACCCCGAUUGCGAAGGCAGCCUGCCAAGCCAUGACUGACGCUGAUGCACGAAAGCGUGGGGAUCAAAC
rnacentral:rRNA from 1 species